rnacentral:tRNA from 1 species
CGGGGCGUAGCGCAGUCUGGUAGCGCGCCUGCUUUGGGAGCAGGAUGUCGCAAGUUCAAAUCUUGCCGUCCCGACCA